UGUAUUUUUAUACGACCGCAAAAAUUAAAAAUUUUUUGGUCGUAUAUUGGUAUGACGUUGGCGUCGUCGUCGUCGUCGUCGUCGUCCGGCGUCGUCCGAAGACACAUUGGUUUUCGCACUCUAACUUUAGUUUAAGUGAAUGGAUCUCCAUGAAAUUUCACCAUAAGGUUCAAUACCACGAAAGGAAGGUUGGGAUUGAUUUUGGGGGUUAUGGUACCAACAGUUAAGGAAUUAGGGGCCAAAAAGGGGCCAAAAAUAAGCAUUUUUGUAACUUUCAGACAAUAACUUGUGUGUAAGUGUAUGGAUCUCUCUGACAUUGUACCACAAGGUUCCAUAUCACAAAGGGAAGGCUGUAAUUGAUUUUGGGGGUAAUUGCCUCAAAAUUUUAGGAAUUAGGGGCCAAAAAAGGGGCAAAAAACAAGCAUUUUUCUAGUUUCAUGACAAUAACUUGUGUGUAAGUGUUUGGAUAUUUCUGAAAUUGUACUACAAGGUUCCAUAUCACAAAGGGAAGGCUGGAAUUGAGUUUGGGGGUAAUUGCCCGAAACGUUUAGGAAUUGGGGGCCAAAAAGGGGCCAAAAAUAAGCAUUUUUCUAGUUUCCAGACAAUAACUUGUGUUCAGGUGUAUGGAUCUCUCUGAAAUUGUACUGCAAGGUACCAUACCACAAAGGGAAGGCUGGGAUUGAGUUUGGGGGUGAUGAAUCAUAAGGGGGUUCAAAAAAUUUGGGGGGGGGGAUUUUUUUUUUUUUUUUUUUUCUUUUUUUCCUUUUUUUUUUCUUUUAAAAUUUUCCAUUUUAAGUUGGUUAUUUCUGAUUUAUAUUUAAAAGCAAAUAAUAAUGAUAUGGUAGGAGAUACACACCAAACAGGAUGUGUAAAUUAUUAUAUAAUAAGUAUUGUGCAAUAGCAAGAAAUUUUCAAUUGCACAGUAUUGCACAAUAGCAAGAAAUCUUCAAUUGCACAGUAUUGCGCAAUAGCAAGAAAUCUUCAAUUGCACAGUAUUGCGCAAUAGCAAGAAAUAUCCAAUAGCACAAUAUUGCGCAAUAGCAAGAAAUUGUCAAUUGUACAGUAUUGCGCAAUAGCAAGAAAUAUUCAAUUGCACAGUAUUGUGCAAAAGAAGAUACUUCGUAUAAAUUGCUUAUUUCUUGAUCAAUUUCAAUGGGGUUUUAUUCUUGAAUUCUUGGGGUUCUUUAAUAUGCUGAAUCUAACCGUGUAUUAAGUUUUUGGAUUUUGGGCCCCGUUUUUAAAUUGGUCCACAUUGAGGUCCAAAGGGUCCAAAAUUUAACUUUGUUUGAUUUCAUCAAAAAUUGAAUUAUUGGGGUUCUUUGAUAUGCCGAAUCUAACCGUGUAUUUAGAUUUUUAAUUUUGGGUCCCAUUUUUUAAAUUGGUCUACAUUAAGGUCCAAAGGGUCCAAAAUUAAACUUAGUUUGAUUUUAACAAAAAUUGAAUUCUUGGGGUUCUUUGAUAUGCUGAAUCUAAACAUGUGUUUAGAUUUUUGAUUAUGGGCCCAGUUUUCAAGUUGGUCCAAGUUGGGUCCAAAAUUAAACUUUGUUUGAUUUCAACAAAAAUUGAAUAUAUGGGGUUCUUUGAUAUGCUGAAUCUAAACAUGUAUUUAGAUUUUAGAUUUUUGGCCCAGUUUUCAAGUUGGUCCAAAUUGGGGUCCAAAAUUAAACUUUGUUUGAUUUCAACAAAAAUUGAAUAUAUGGGGUUCUUUGAUAUGCUGAAUCUUACCAUGUAUUUAGAUUUUUUAUUUGUGGGCCCGCUAUCAAAUUGGUUCAUAUUGAGGUCAAAAGGGUCCAAAAUUAAACUUUGUUUGAUUUCAUCAAAAAUUUAAUUAUUGGGGUUCUUUGAUAUGCCAAAUCUAACCGUGUUUUUAGAUUUUUAAUUUUGGGUCCCGUUUUUUAAAUUUGUCUACAUUAAGGUCCAAAGGGUCCAAAAUUAAACUUAGUUUGAUUUUAACAAAAAUUGAAUUCUUCGGGUACUUUGAUAUGCUGAAUCUAAACAUGUGUUUAGAUUUUUGAUUAUGGGACCAGUUUUCAAGUUUGUCCAAGUUGGGGUCCAAAAUUAAACUUUGUUUGAUUUCAACAAAAAUUGAAUAUAUGGGGUUCUUUGAUAUGCUGAAUCUAACCAUGUAUUUUGAUUUUGGACAUUGGACCAUAAUAGGUAAAUUAAAAAAAUUGAAGUUCUUAGACCACAUUCU